rnacentral:rRNA from 1 species
GCGGUAAUACGGAGGAUGCGAGCGUUAUCCGGAUUUAUUGGGUUUAAAGGGCGCGUAGGCGGUUUGGUCAAGUCAGUGGUGAAACACAAGGGCUUUAACCCUUGACCUGCCGUUGAAACUGAUGGACAAGAAUGCGGAUGCUGUGGGAGGAAUGUGUGGUGUAGCGGUGAAAAUGCAUAGAUAUCACACAGAACACCGAUUGCGAAGGCAUCUCACAAAUCCGUAAUCGACGCUGAGGCACGAAAGUGUGGGGAUCAAACAGGAUUAGAUACCCUGGUAGUCCACACUGUAAACGAUGAUGGCUCGCUGUCGGCGAUAUACAGUCGGUGGCCAAGCGAAAGCGAUAAGUCAUCCACCUGGGGAGUACGACCGCAAGGUUGAAACUCAAAGGAAUUGACGGGGGCCCGCACAAGCGGAGGAACAUGUGGUUUAAUUCGAUGAUACGCGAGGAACCUUACCCGGGCUCGAACGGCAAGUGAACGAUCAAGAGAUUGAGAGGUCCUUCGGGACACUUGUCGAGGUGCUGCAUGGUUGUCGUCAGCUCGUGCCGUGAGGUGUCGGCUUAAGUGCCAUAACGAGCGCAACCCUUGCCAUUAGUUACCAGCACGUAAAGGUGGGGACUCUAGUGGGACUGCCACCGUAAGGUGAGAGGAGGGGGGGGAUGACGUCAAAUCAGCACGGCCCUUACGUCCGGGGCGACACACGUGUUACAAUGGUGGGUACAGAGGGCAGCUACCUGGCGACAGGAUGCAAAUCUCGAAAACCCAUCUCAGUUCGGAUCGGAGUCUGCAACUCGACUCCGUGAAGUUGGAUUCGCUAGUAAUCGCGCAUCAGCCAUGGCGCGGUGAAU